CAGGCCAAGCACGCUUAACUUUAGAGUUUUUUUGGAGAUGGGCUUUCGGAAAAGAAGUUGCAACUUGUUGGUAUGAGUCUCCUAUUAAUCCUAUUGAGCCCUGGGCCGGGUGUUACAUGUCGGGACCAAAGUAUUCGAGUUAUCACCUUUGCCGAUAGUAAGGUCAAAUCGGCUGGCACGCCUUAACGUUUAAAUCGGGUAUUAGCCCUUUGUGUUUGCAGAUCAGCUUUUGCAUCAACAACGGGAUGUGGCUGCUCCUCGCUGCUAGCCGCCCCUAAAGCUCUUGUCGAGCAGGCAGAGGCUUGAUGCUGAGCAGGGCCUAUGGUUCUGUCGGAGGCCUGACAUGAGUCAAAAGGUUCAGAUGAAACAAUGAAACUGAUAUAGCUGAAACCCAAAUAUCUAUGCCAAGCAAACUCACUUAAAGUUACAUGCGAAAGAGAAGGUGCUUUACAUGCAAUCCAAAAUUGUAUAUAUUCAAAUAGGGCAAAGAAACAUAAGCACUGACAGCUAAUGCUCAUGAUUUUUUUAAUGUAUACAGUUUCAAAAGGAUAACUCCACCUUUCUCUCUCAGUUUUGACCGGACACAAUGCCUCUUGUAGAGCAUAUUUGUGAAAAUAUUUUUAUACAACUAAUGCACAUAUGAAAUCGACCAUGAAUAAAAAAUCAGCUAGAGACUUCAUAGGACUGAAAAUGAUACAUUGUGUCAUUAAAUAUGAAAGGUGUGUGGUAUUCAUUAAUUGACCAAAAAUUCUCAAAUAAUCACACAAGAUUCAGAAUGGAUCAGAAGACCUGCAUAUGCAAUCUGCACUAUGAAGUAACAUCGACAAAAAGGAUGAAAUUGCCCUAACUGUGUACGGAGGAAUAUCAUAUCCUUUAAUUUCUGACAUACUUAUUUGAACAUGUGUGUUUCUGAAUUUAUGCCUAACAACAAAAGUUUAAAGAAGACACAUCUGCAGACCCUUGGAAAGAAUGCAAUCGAUCAAUGCAAUAAUCCAGAAAGAUCAAUAGCAGCGCAGAUUAAUGCCAGAGAACUUGCAGGACACUACAGAGAGGACGAUGGAGAGCUACCCGUAGAUGUGGUUCGGGGGCUUGCAGGCUAGAAUCUCAUGCAACGGAGGCUCCAUCACUGGCGCUGCUUCUGUCGCGUCAUCAUACCCUAAGUGUCGCUUCCCCUUUGCUAUGUGCGUCCUCAGCUGCAGCCGCUUAGUUCUACCGGGAUCCGCAGCAAAGGAAGGCCGUGGGAUUUGGACCUGGACGAGGAGCGAUGGGGAUGGUGUUGCAGUGACAUGGGUGCGGGGACGGGGAACGGCGGCAUAUGCGGCCGCAGGGAGCGCGGACAGGGAGCGGCGACGUACGUGGCCGAGCUAGUGACUGCAGGGAUGGAGAGCGCGGCGGUGUACGCGGCCGUAGGAAGUGAGGACGGGGAGUUUAGGGGUUGUCGCAGGGAAGGGGAGGAGCAGAUGUGGGCGCAAGGAUGGAGAAAGCGUGUGGGAGAUGGUCGCAGGGCGUGAUUGGCGGAGCAGAAGGAGGGAGCGAGCGUCGCAGACCCGGCAGACGGACGAACGAAGAUGGAUUGUUGCACGAAAAAAUGUCCACUCUUUAGUCUUUUUAGUUGU
rnacentral:lncRNA from 1 species